rnacentral:lncRNA from 1 species
AUGUAAAAUUGUGUGUGUGACCGUGUCAAAAGAUAACAAAAGAGAGAGAAAAAAACAAUAGAGCAAUUUGACUUGGCUUUGCAGAGGAAGAGCAAUGAACAUUCAAGACCUCUUAAACAACUAAACACAUACUUUUAGAGCCCCGAAAUUCAUAUUUUACAGUAUAUAUCAUUUCAUGAACCUUGGAGAAGACUUCUUGUAUCUGGAGUAUAUGACAAGGAGUCGGAUCUUGGUUAAAGUCUUUUUUCAUUUAAGACUCCACCAUCCUCCCGACGGAAAAUAAAUUGGCCAGGGAUUGUUUUUGAUAAAUUUGUAAAGAUGAAUGAUGUGGAGAAUGUUGAAUGAAAGCGCGCGGGAGUCGGUCAACAUAUUUUUUCAAACAAUUCUUGAGUUGAUGGAUUCCAUUACAUUGUCUAAGUUCAAUCUUUCUAUUUGUCUCUUGACAAGAUGGGUUGUGGUGAUUUCUAUGUUCGUAAAAGCUUCCAGAGCAAUAAAGAAGGGGGUCGGAGGACAAAGGCUUUUUUCCUUGGACUUGACAUUAAAUAAAAUCUUUUUGUCUCUGAGAUGAAGCUCCCUUUGAGCUAGGAGUAGGGCAACAGAGUUCAAGCCUGCUGUCCUGAAAAAUGCAUCCUUACUGCUCAAUCUGCUAUUAUAAUUAAGUACUUACUUGGAUUGAAGGAGUAUUUAAAGAUGUUUUUGGAGUUGGACUAAAUGGAAUCUCUAUGGAAAAAGGUUUUUAUUUAAUUUUUGGAAUCUGUUGAGGUAAGAUAAAGAAGUGGAACCCACUUAAUUAAUUGGUUUAUUUAUCUGGGUUUUCUGGAAGUUAAUGUAUGUAGAGUUCUGAAUUUUUUAAUAAAAUUUGAUCGUUUAUCAUCAGCGUGCAAGAGGUAUUUCAAGGUCUUAUUUCCAGGUUCCAUGUUUUUUAUCGUUGUAUUUGAUGUUAUUUCCUUCGACAGGCCAUUGAUAAUGUUAAUGAGAGUAUAUCUCCCAUACUUGCUCCUCAGAGAAUAUGAAAUUUCACGAAUGAACACGGUAUAUCUAUUCUUGAUGAGGAGUUUUAUCUUUAGCAUCAAAGCUAGUAGUGAACACUUACUUAUAAGAUCUGGAACGAAUCCUAUUUUGAAAAUAUUAUAGAAGACCUUUUCAGGAAUGGGUCCUAGUGGAGUACCUAAAAACAUUCGAAAGGUAGCCCGAAAAGCCCUGGAGAUUUCAAUUGACUAUCAUAUUCUCAGCUCUUUGAAUAUUUUGGAGGAUUUGCAUGCUAUUUAUCGAAAUUCCUCUAUGUGACAUUCCUUAUUGGCUUGAGCGUAAAUAAAGAUAUUGAAACUCUGAAAUAGUUCAAGUUGGAAUAAAGAGCACCUGAGAUGAUACCCCCAAAUGCAUACAAAACCGAGUUAACAAUUAGACCCUCGAGUCGGAGUUUCAAUCAGUCAAUGUUUCAUUCUUCAGUAGUUAACACCACUAAAGCCAUGCCUCCAGUUCCAAAUAAUAAAGUUGUUAAAAGCAAGAAAUUUCAUGUUGGUAGAUAUAAGAAAAGACAGCAUAGACGUCGGGAAUUCGCAUCAAGUAAAUACAACACCGAUAACCGACUACAAAGAACCUCUUUAUAUUCAUCCCCUUCAACAUUGUCGACACUUGGAUCGGAUAUUAAUUGGCUAAAAAAUGGAAUGGAUACAAAUCCGCGAAAGAGCCAUCCCAGUCCUUGUCUGAGCAAAAGGCGAAAUCUGAAACAACAACUGAGAAGAAAUCCAAGAGUUGGGCGGAAUGGAAAGAAAAGGGAAAUGUAGAAAUCGAAAUAAAGACAUGCAGAUCCCCUGCCAUAAAAUUUGAUACUCCACUCUAUGAACUACAAUCUCCAAAAGAUAUUCCCUUUUUUGAUCUCUCAUCUAAUGAAGAGAAUUGGAGAGAAUUUAAGACUCUGAAGGGGAAAUGCAACAAUGACAUAAUAACAAGAAUUCCUUUAGUAAAGAAUCUUGUUCCAUCCUGUCAUGACGCUACUGUAAAUGACAUAUACAAUUUGAACGGUAGUAUCCAAUGUGGUGU